AUUGAACGCUGGCGGCAUGCCUUACACAUGCAAGUCGAACGGCAGCACGGGUGCUUGCACCUGGUGGCGAGUGGCGAACGGGUGAGUAAUACAUCGGAACAUGUCCUGUAGUGGGGGAUAGCCCGGCGAAAGCCGGAUUAAUACCGCAUACGAUCUACGGAUGAAAGCGGGGGACCUUCGGGCCUCGCGCUAUAGGGUUGGCCGAUGGCUGAUUAGCUAGUUGGUGGGGUAAAGGCCUACCAAGGCGACGAUCAGCAGCUGGUCUGAGAGGACGACCAGCCACACUGGGACUGAGACACGGCCCAGACUCCUACGGGAGGCAGCAGUGGGGAAUUUUGGACAAUGGGCGAAAGCCUGAUCCAGCAAUGCCGCGUGUGUGAAGAAGGCCGUCGGGUUGUAAAGCACUUUUGUCCGGAAAGAAAUCCUUGGCCCUAAUACGGUCGGGGGAUGACGGUACCGGAAGAAUAAGCACCGGCUAACUACG
rnacentral:rRNA from 1 species